rnacentral:rRNA from 1 species
CCUACGGGGUGCAGCAGUGGGGGAUAUUGCACAAUGGGGGGAACCCUGAUGCAGCGACGCCGCGUGGGUGAAGAAGCGCCUCGGCGCGUAAAGCCCUGUCAGCAGGGAAGAAAAUGACGGUACCUGAAGAAGAAGCCCCGGCUAACUACGUGCCAGCAGCCGCGGUAAUACGUAGGGGGCAAGCGUUAUCCGGAUUUACUGGGUGUAAAGGGGGCGCAGACGGCGAUGCAAGUCUGAAGUGAAAGCCCGUGGCUCAACCGCGGAACCGCUUUGGAAACUGCGAGGCUGGAGUGCUGGAGAGGUAAGCGGAAUUCCUGGUGUAGCGGUGAAAUGCGUAGAUAUCAGGAGGAACACCGGUGGCGAAGGCGGCUUACUGGACAGUGACUGACGUUGAGGCUCGAAAGCGUGGGGAGCGAACAGGAUUAGAUACCCGGGUAGUC